rnacentral:rRNA from 1 species
UACGUAGGGUGCGAGCGUUAAUCGGAAUUACUGGGCGUAAAGCGUGCGCAGGCGGUUAGUUAAGUCUGAUGUGAAAGCCCCGGGCUCAACUUGGGAAUGGCGUUGGAAACUGGCUGGCUAGAGUGCGGCAGAGGGGGGUGGAAUUCCGCGUGUAGCAGUGAAAUGCGUAGAGAUGCGGAGGAACACCGAUGGCGAAGGCAGCCCCCUGGGCUGACACUGACGCUCAGGCACGAAAGCGUGGGGAGCAAAAGGG